GUUCAAAUCGUAGUGAGGUCAAAAUGGGUAAAGUUCAGUUAGCAUUGCUUUGUCUAGUUGCUAUUGCAACAGCUACAAGCGGUUAUCGAGUUUAUCGAAUAGACUAUGCUGAUCGACGUGAUCUUUGUCGUAUGUUUCCAAAUCUUUGCCAUAAUCCUGGUUAUCAGCGAUAUCCUCCGCCUCCGCCUCGUCGUCGCCUCUAUGAAGUUUUUAUUGCCCCUAAACCACCGCAUCAUCCAGGUCACCCAGGUCAUCCAGGUCAUCCAGGCCCUCCAGGCCCUCCAGUCCCUCCAGUCCCUCCAGGCCAUCCAGGUCAUGGCCGUUUGGGCCUGACUGAUAUACUACUACGUGGAGAUGAAGAUGAUUGUGGCCCGUAUGGUUGCGAUUAUUACCGCCAAUAUUCUCCAUAUCCUCGUCGGUAUGGCAGUUGGUUUGGUCGUUAAUAUGCCAGUCACUAUAGCCGUCGAUAUGCCUAAUGUGCCGAAUUAAAUGAUCUUUCAACACCGUCCUUGAUUAUUAAUAUAAUAUUUUACCACUAUAACCUGACAUAGGUGACUUACGGAGGGGCCACUGCAAACUAUAAGUCACUAUCUGCAACCAUAUAAUGGUUUAUACAAAAUAAAUAAAUCUAUUCAAGUAAAA